ACGGAAGGCAGCAGUGGGGAAUAUUGCACAAUGGGGGAAACCCUGAUGCAGCGACGCCGCGUGAGUGAAGAAGUAUUUCGGUAUGUAAAGCUCUAUCAGCAGGGAAGAAAAUGACGGUACCUGACUAAGAAGCCCCGGCUAACUACGUGCCAGCAGCCGCGGUAAUACGUAGGGGGCAAGCGUUAUCCGGAUUUACUGGGUGUAAAGGGAGCGUAGACGGCAGAGCAAGUCUGAAGUGAAAGCCCGGGGCUCAACUCCGGGACUGCUUUGGAAACUGCCCAGCUAGAGUGCAGGAGGGGCAAGCGGAAUUCCUAGUGUAGCGGUGAAAUGCGUAGAUAUUAGGAGGAACACCGGUGGCGAAGGCGGCUUGCUGGACUGUAACUGACGUUGAGGCUCGAAAGCGUGGGGAGCAAACAGGAUUAGAUACCCUGGUA
rnacentral:rRNA from 1 species